AACGAACGCUGGCGGCAUGCCUAACACAUGCAAGUCGAACGAGACCUUCGGGUCUAGUGGCGCACGGGUGCGUAACGCGUGGGAACCUGCCCUUAGGUUCGGAAUAACUCCCCGAAAGGGGUGCUAAUACCGGAUAAUGUCUUCGGACCAAAGAUUUAUCGCCUUUGGAUGGGCCCGCGUUGGAUUAGCUAGUUGGUAGGGUAAAAGCCUACCAAGGCGACGAUCCAUAGCUGGUCUGAGAGGAUGAUCAGCCACACUGGGACUGAGACACGGCCCAGACUCCUACGGGAGGCAGCAGUGGGGAAUAUUGGACAACGGGCGAAAGCCUGAUCCAGCAAUGCCGCGUGAGUGAUGAAGGCCUUAGGGUUGUAAAGCUCUUUUACCCGGGACGAUAAUGACAGUACCGGGAGAAUAAGCUCCGGCUAACUCCGUG
rnacentral:rRNA from 1 species